GUCGGUCUAUUGGCGGCUGAGAGUUUAUUAAAGCAAAGAGAGAGUGAGAGCGCUUUCCACUGGAUCUAUAAAAAUUGCAAUAGCAAACGGAAACAUGUGCAAAUGUAUCCCCCAAAUAUUGAAUGUUGCUUUUAUACCCGGUACUCGAAGUGUAAAUACCUGUCGGACCUGUCCCCGCAGCGGUUUUCGGCGGCGGGCGAACUCAGUCUCCUCCCGCGUCUUCUCAUUACCUCGUUUCCCAGGCGUCGAUUGAGAGGGAUUGGCUUGUCCCUAUGGCACUUUAAGAGGAGUACCGAGCUCCUUUGCCGUUAUAUUUUGUAUAUUUAAGUUACUUGACAUUUUUGGUCCCACGAGUAGGCGG
rnacentral:lncRNA from 1 species